rnacentral:lncRNA from 1 species
GGAAAUUCCAUGCCCUUCCCACAUACCUUGCCCUGUGCAUCCACGUACUGAGAGGAUGACUCACCCCAACUCAGCAGCGACAGAAGCUCCUAUGCUCAGGACCUUCCCAGACUUCCCCCAAGUGUCUCUUCAUCUGGUUGUUCAUCUGUAUCCUUUAUCACAUCCUGUCAUAAACUGGUCAAGCCCAACCCUUUGAGGUGGGUCCUGUUAUCUCCAAAUUAUAGAUGAGAAGACUGAGGGUCAGAAAGGAGCUGUUGCUUGGAACAGGUUAACACAGAACUCAACCCCAGGACCAAACCCAGAGGGGACUUAGGAAAAGGAAGAUUAGCCCUGAGCUAACAUCCACUGCCAAUCCUCCUCUUUUUGCUGAGGAAGACUGGCCCUGAGCUAACACCCAUGCCCAUCUUCCUCUACUUUAUAUGUGGGACACCUGCCACAGCAUGGCCUGACAAGUCCACACCUGAGAUCACAGCCGGGGAACCCCAGGCCACCGAAGUAGAGCCCUCGAACUUCAAUACGACACUGGAUCUGCCCCAAAGUUGCAUUUCUUUUGUUACUAUUAUUGUUACAAAUGGCUUCACAUGUUUACUGAUCAUUUACACUUAGUUUUAAAUCACAUGUCUGUUAUGCUCCGUGCCUAUUCCUACUGGGGUGGUGUCUUUUUCCUAUUGAUUUGUAAUGAUAUCAACACUUUUUCAGAUAUAUAUUGAAUUGUCCUAAUUUAUCCUUUGCCUAUUAAUUUUGUUUAUGAUUUUUUUGAUGCACAAAAUCUUUUUGCUGUCAUAUUUUUCAAUCUUUCCCUUAUGGUUUCUACUUUUGAUAUUAAACUUAGAAUGGCUUUCCCCACAUGGACAUUAUAUGAGUAUUUUCCUCUAUUAUCUUUUUGGUAUCAUUUAUUAUAUUUAAUUCUUUAUCCCGUUUGAAAUUUAUGUUAGUAUGUGGUUUGGGGAAAGAUCAAAUUCUUAAUUUUCUAAGCCAUAUUUAUUCAUUUCCUACCCAUUUUGAAAUGCCACAUUUGUCAUAUUCUGAAUAUUUAAAGUACACCUUGGGGGGCCGGGCAGGUGGCGCAGCGGUUAAGUGCACACGUUGCGCUUUGGCGGCCCAGGGUUUGCCAGUUCAGAUCCCAGGUGCGGACAUGGCACCGCUUGGCAAGCCAUGCUGUG